rnacentral:rRNA from 1 species
GACGAACGCUGGCGGCGUGCCUAAUACAUGCAAGUUGAGCGCUGAAGGUUGGUACUUGUACCAACUGGAUGAGCAGCGAACGGGUGAGUAACGCGUGGGGAAUCUGCCUUUGAGCGGGGGACAACAUUUGGAAACGAAUGCUAAUACCGCAUAAAAACUUUAAACACAAGUUUUAAGUUUGAAAGAUGCAAUUGCAUCACUCAAAGAUGAUCCCGCGUUGUAUUAGCUAGUUGGUGAGGUAAAGGCUCACCAAGGCGAUGAUACAUAGCCGACCUGAGAGGGUGAUCGGCCACAUUGGGACUGAGACAAGGCCCAAACUCCUACGGGAGGCAGCAGUAGGGAAUCUUCGGCAAUGGACGAAAGUCUGACCGAGCAACGCCGCGGGAGUGAAGAAGGUUUUCGGAUCGUAAAACUCUGUUGGUAGAGAAGAACGUUGGUGAGAGUGGAAAGCUCAUAAAGUGACGGUAACUACCCAGAAAGGGACGGCUAACUACGUG